UACGUAGGGUGCGAGCGUUGUCCGGAAUUAUUGGGCGUAAAGAGCUCGUAGGCGGCUUGUCACGUCGGAUGUGAAAGCCCGGGGCUUAACCCCGGGUCUGCAUUCGAUACGGGCUAGCUAGAGUGUGGUAGGGGAGAUCGGAAUUCCUGGUGUAGCGGUGAAAUGCGCAGAUAUCAGGAGGAACACCGGUGGCGAAGGCGGAUCUCUGGGCCAUUACUGACGCUGAGGAGCGAAAGCGUGGGGAGCGAACAGG
rnacentral:rRNA from 1 species